UUUAUCACAUUUUCUUCUCCAGCCACUCUUAACAUCAGUAACUUGCCUUAAUUUUCUUGCUCUUUAUUACCAAAAUAGAGAGGUUUUUCAACACAGAUAAUGCAUUUGUUUCCCUAAUUUCCACAAUGUAUUUGUUCUGUUGAUGUUUAUGAUGGUUCACUAAUUCCGACUUAUUCUUUGGUAUUUUUAUGCAACUCAGGUUACAUGAAGAAAAUGACAAGGUUUGCGCAAUCAGGAUUUUGAGACCUGAUCUAUUAAUUGAUAUUGGAUCGUUUUUCUGAUAAUUUUGAAUAGUUUCAAGUUUUUCAAGUCAAGUUAGAUAUAGAUUUUUAGACCUCCAUCCGCAUCCGCUUGCUUUGGUUUUUUAAAUGGAAAUGCAAUUUCUUUUCUUUUCAGUCACUAUUAAUUUAAUCUUUUUUGUGCAUGAUAGCAAACAGAAUUGGUUUAUUCUUUUCUCUUCAGUUUAUCCACUUUGCUUUUUUGUUUUAAGACCCAAAUGCAGGUUUGAAAGUAGAAUUGGUUCAUUAUUUCUUUCCAGUUUUUUUUCCUUCUUAGUUUGAAGACGCAAAAAUGGAUUUUGCUAGGGAGAAAUAUACGAAUAACUGCAUCUACGAAAGCCACCAUUCAACAAAUGCAGGAAGUCGUAGAGAUUAAAUAGAAGUUUGUAAUUAUUUAUAAGGUUCUUUUGAUUGCAAAAAUAACCCAAUUUUGUGGGUGCAUGCACGCUGAAGUUCUUCACCAAUUGUGCACAGUGCCCGACUAGAUUAGGCAGUGGGAUCAUUAUAAGCAAGAAUUAGAGGGAUUGUGAAGAUGUUUCUACUACACAGUACACAACCCACAAAUCUAGAAGGAAAAUUGAGCAUGUGGACGGAAUCUUGGGUAUCAGGCAACGGGGCAAUCACAUACUAGAGGGAGAUAAAUCCUGAGUAUGUGGAAUCUUCUCAAUGGGCUUCAAAUUGUAAGGGUGACAUUAUUUUUACUUCAGGAGACGGCUCAAGUGGUAACCAUUUCGGUACUGACAAUCCUUUCAACUCAAGCAAGAAAAAAGACUCACUUUAACUUUAUGUACAACUGUACAUAUCAUUUAUCGCAGGUUUCAGAAAGAAGACAUAUGUCUUAAUAUUAGUGGUUGUUAUGUAGCAAAAGAAGUAGGUAAUGCUAUCUAUUUGGGCGCCUAACAUAAUUUUACUUAAUAAUUUUUAAUUUAGCUUUUGUGUAAUAAAUGUGUAGACUUGAGUUUAGUAAACUUUGUGGUUCUUCGCU